rnacentral:rRNA from 1 species
GAAAUCUUAGGUAAAUCCGGGGUUUCAAGGCCGAGAGCUGAUGACGAGUCGUCUUUUAGAUGACGAAGUGGUUGAUGCCAUGCUUCCAAGAAAAGCUUCUAAGCUUCAGGUAACCAGGAACCGUACCCCAAACCGACACAGGUGGUCGGGUAGAGAAUACCAAGGCGCUUGAGAGAACUCGGGUGAAGGAACUAGGCAAAAUGGCACCGUAACUUCGGGAGAAGGUGCGCCGGCUAGGGUGAAGGAUUUACUCCGUAAGCUCUGGCUGGUCGAAGAUACCAGGCCGCUGCGACUGUUUAUUAAAAACACAGCACUCUGCAAACACGAAAGUGGACGUAUAGGGUGUGACGCCUGCCCGGUGCCGGAAGGUUAAUUGAUGGGGUUAGCGCAAGCGAAGCUCUUGAUCGAAGCCCCGGUAAACGGCGGCCGUAACAAUAACGGUCCUAAGGUAGCGAAAUUCCUUGUCGGGUAAGUUCCGACCUGCACGAAUGGCGUAACGAUGGCGGCGCUGUCUCCACCCGAGACUCAGUGAAAUUGAAAUCGCUGUGAAGAUGCAGUGUAUCCGCGGCUAGACGGAAAGACCCCGUGAACCUUUACUGUAGCUCUGCACUGGACUUUGAGCCUGCUUGUGUAGGAUAGGUGGGAGGCUUUGAAGCGUGGACGCCAGUUCGCGUGGAGCCAUCCUUGAAAUACCACCCUGGCAUGCUUGAGGUUCUAACUCUGGUCCGUAAUCCGGAUCGAGGACAGUGUAUGGUGGGCAGUUUGACUGGGGCGGUCUCCUCCUAAAGAGUAACGGAGGAGUACGAAGGUGCGCUCAGACCGGUCGGAAAUCGGUCGCAGAGUAUAAAGGCAAAAGCGCGCUUGACUGCGAGACAGACACGUCGAGCAGGUACGAAAGUAGGUCUUAGUGAUCCGGUGGUUCUGUAUGGAAGGGCCAUCGCUCAACGGAUAAAAGGUACUCCGGGGAUAACAGGCUGAUACCGCCCAAGAGUUCAUAUCGACGGCGGUGUUUGGCACCUCGAUGUCGGCUCAUCACAUCCUGGGGCUGAAGCCGGUCCCAAGGGUAUGGCUGUUCGCCAUUUAAAGUGGUACGCGAGCUGGGUUUAGAACGUCGUGAGACAGUUCGGUCCCUAUCUGCCGUGGACGUUUGAGAUUAGAGAGGGGCUGCUCCUAGUACGAGAGGACCGGAGUGGACGAACCUCUGGUGUUCCGGUUGUCACGCCAGUGGCAUUGCCGGGUAGCUAUGUUCGGAAAAGAUAACCGCUGAAAGCAUCUAAACGGGAAACUUGCCUCAAGAUGAGAUCUCACUGGGAACUUGAUUCCCCUGAAGGGCCGUCGAAGACUACGACGUUGAUAGGCUGGGUGUGUAAGCGUUGUGAGGCGUUGAGCUAACCAGUACUAAUUGCCCGUGAGGCUUGAUC